CACCCAGGCUGGCCCAGCGCCUUUGCCCCGCAAGCCAGGGAGCGGUGCCAUUGCUCCAGGAAGUCGCCUGGCCUGAGACUUUCCUAAAUUCUACCCAGACUCAGCGCCCAGAGCCUGGGAUCCUGUGAAUAAAAUGGCGCAGACGUGCUUGUGCGGCUUUCCUGCUGGAGUCCAUGAGCGUCUCGAGGAUUUGGGCAUGUGUGUUCAUGUCAUGUCACAAUCUGUUCAGAGUACUGUCAUCAGCAACAGAGCAUGGCUCAGCACGCGGGCAAAACUGCACCAACCACGAUGCAUGGACACAGCACCCAUCUAGCCCUGACCUGGUGGUUUGUUUGUGUCCCCUUGCUCUGCCCUACCCAAGGAGGAUGGGGGGUUCAGUGUGUAAAAAAAUAAAGUCUGGACUCAUAGAUAAUAUUAUUAUACUGUGGAGACAGGUCCUUUUUUUUUUUUUUUUUUUAAAGUAUUUUAAAUAUGGGAGAACCAGGCCUGGA
rnacentral:lncRNA from 1 species